UAUAUAAGUCAGUGGUGAAAUAUUCGGGCUCAACCCGGGAUACUGCCAUUGAUACUGUAUAGCUGGAAUAUGGUUGCUGUGGGUGGAAUGUGUGGUGUAGCGGUGAAAUGCAUAGAUAUCACACAGAAUAUCGAUUGCGAAGGCAACUCACAAAGCCAUUAUUGACGCUGAUGCACGAAAGUGUGGGGAUCAAACAGGAUUAGAUACCCUGGUAGUCCACACUGUAAACGAUGAUAACUAGCUGUCGGCGAUACACCGUCGGUGGCCAAGCGAAAGCGAUAAGUUAUCCACCUGGGGAGUACGACCGCAAGGUUGAAACUCAAAGGAAUUGACGGGGGCCCGCACAAGCGGAGGAACAUGUGGUUUAAUUCGAUGAUACGCGAGGAACCUUACCCGGGCUCGAACGGUGCAGUAAUAUGGUAGAGAUAUCAUAGCUAGCAAUAGACUGUAUCGAGGUGCUGCAUGGUUGUCGUCAGCUCGUGCCGUGAGGUGUCGGCUUAAGUGCCAUAACGAGCGCAACCCUUGUCGUUAGUUGCCAUCAAGUAAAGUUGGGGACUCUAGCGAGACUGCCACCGUAAGGUGUGAGGAAGGGGGGGAUGACGUCAAAUCAGCACGGCCCUUACGUCCGGGGCGACACACGUGUUACAAUGGUAGGUACAGAGGGCCGCUAUCCAGUGAUGGAGUGCCAAUCUCAAAAACCUAUCUCAGUUCGGAUCGGAGUCUGCAACUCGACUCCGUGAAGUUGGAUUCGCUAGUAAUCGCGCAUCAGCCAUGGCGCGGUGAAUACGUUCCCGGGCCUUGUACACACCGCCCGUCAAGCCAUGGAAGCCGGGGGUGCCUGAAGUUCGUGACCGCAAGGAGCGACCUAGGGCAAAACUGGUAACUGGGGCUAAGUCGUAACAAGGUAACC
rnacentral:rRNA from 1 species